ensembl:snoRNA SNORD62 Small nucleolar RNA SNORD62
UCUCGGAAUGGGAUUCCAGUAGACCCUCUGACCCUCCCCGGCGGACUCAGCGGCAGGGAGAUGAAGAGA